rnacentral:tRNA from 1 species
GGAGAGCUGGCCGAGCGGCUGAAGGCACCUGAUUCGAAAUCAGGAGUACCCGCAAGGGUAUCGGGGGUUCGAAUCCCUCGCUCUCCGCCA